AUAUUUACCUGGCAGGGAGAAUACCAUGAUCAUGAAGGUGGUUUCUCCAGGUUCAGGCUGUUCCAUUACACACUUCGGUUGGGUUGACACCUGUGAUUUCUCCAAAUGUGGGAAACUCGACUGCGUAAUUUAUGGUAUCUUCCAGUGUGAGGCUCUCCUCACACUGGA